AUUCGACGGCAGGCUCCGUGCUUUGGCAUCGAACUGUCGGCUCGUACCCCGCUUCAGUGAUGCAUCAAGAUUUGUGUCUUGUGCGCGGUUAGGUUUCUGUUUUGGCUACCUAUCGUAAAGGAAUGUUGCCUCUCGUUGUCCCUUCAUCCUCUUGCUGGCCUUGCUGGCGGGAGGACGACAUUGUAGCGAUGCCCGUGUCCCGAACAACCCACAGUUUUUGUGCGAUUGUGUCGGUGCUCGAGUUUUUGCUUGAUAUCUCGGAUGCGGAACACUAGAGGGACGAUGGGUCUCUAUGGCCUCCUAUCGUCCAUUCGAAGCCUUGUCGCUCGAUGCGUACGACUGUUGUGCCCGUGGCGAGCGAUCGACCUUCAAGGUCGUUUGUCUCGCGCGGCGCCGGCGUCGAAGAGGAAUGCUACCUGGUU
rnacentral:misc_RNA from 1 species